GGCGGCUCCGGCGGCGGGCGGCGGGCGGCUGGGCUGCCGCGGUCGCCGCGGCCCUUCGGCCCUUCGGAAGCGAGCAGCGGCUGCGCCGAUCUUUGUUCUUGUUGAGACAAAGCCCCUGGACUUGGGUCCCCGGUCCGUGCAGUCGGAUUAUUCGCCCUCCAGCAUCUUGGGUCACUACACCAGAGUUCUAUAAAAAGUUGCCCGUGAAAUUAAAACAACAACAACAACACAUGGAAUCCGCUGCAUAGGUUCAGAAAAUAAGAGGAGCUGGAUUGUAACGGAAUGCUGUCUUAAUGCACACUUAGCCGUCGAGGCACAGAGUAAGCUGCAGAUUUCUACGAUUAAAACGGUGGAUUGAGUGUUCAGGCCAGCGAGCAGUCCUGGUUUCAUGCAAUGGAGUGGACACAGUCCCCUGAUUUGCAGCUUUGGUAUUCAGUCUACCCCCAUGGGACUACCAGUAUUGGCCAGAAUCCUAUGUGACAGGUAUUGGCUUCAUCAGCUGUGACUCUAUGAAAACAUGGUCCCAGGUGGGGUUAUGGCUGGCACUUGACCGCCCUUCCUUAUGCCAUCCCUGCUCAGAAGAUGUCCUGUAUUGUCCAAACCCAAGCACGUACCCUUGUGCCUACAGCUUUUGUAAUUGCACAUUGAAGACGAA